CCUACGGGAGGCAGCAGUGGGGAAUAUUGGACAAUGGGCGCAAGCCUGAUCCAGCAAUGCCGCGUGAGUGAUGAAGGCCUUAGGGUCGUAAAGCUCUUUUACCAGGGAUGAUAAUGACAGUACCUGGAGAAUAAGCUCCGGCUAACUCCGUGCCAGCAGCCGCGGUAAUACGGAGGGAGCUAGCGUUGUUCGGAAUUACUGGGCGUAAAGCGUACGUAGGCGGUUAUUCAAGUCAGAGGUGAAAGCCCGGGGCUCAACCCCGGAACGGCCUUUGAAACUAGGUAGCUAGAAUCUUGGAGAGGUCAGUGGAAUUCCGAGUGUAGAGGUGAAAUUCGUAGAUAUUCGGAAGAACACCAGUGGCGAAGGCGACUGACUGGACAAGUAUUGACGCUGAGGUACGAAAGCGUGGGGAGCAAACAGGAUUAGAUACCCUGGUAGUCCACGCCGUAAACGAUGAUAACUAGCUGUCCGGGCACUUGGUGCCUGGGUGGCGCAGCUAACGCAUUAAGUUAUCCGCCUGGGGAGUACGGUCGCAAAGAUUAAAAACCUUAAAGGAAAUUAGACGGCUGGUGAGUUAGCGAGAGACGACGAGGAGGAGGAG
rnacentral:rRNA from 1 species